UACGUAGGGGGCUAGCGUUGUCCGGAUUUAUUGGGCGUAAAGAGCGUGUAGGCGGCCAUGUAGGUCCGGUGUGAAAACUCGGGGCUUAACCCCGGGCCUGCAGUGGGUACGGGCAGACUGGAGUGCGGUAGGGGGAGAAUGGAAUUCCUGGUGUAGCGGUGGAAUGCGCAGAUAUCAGGAGGAACACCGAUGGCGAAGGCAGUUCUCUGGGCCGUAACUGACGCUGAGGAGCGAAAGCGUGGGGAGCGAACAGG
rnacentral:rRNA from 1 species